rnacentral:lncRNA from 1 species
GAACACACAACAAUCCUAUCUGGAUGACUCGAAAUACUUCAAUCACAUCACCCGACUUCAAGAUCACUUCAUCAAUUAGUCCCACAAGGUUCUCUUGUUUAUAACUCAUCCAGACCUAUACAAAGUUUUAUGAUCUUUUAGUCCUGGCUUAGCAUAUAAGGUGGUAAUGUAUUCAUAGCACUUACAUGGCCAAUGAGGUUCAGACUGUGGUCAGGAUGACUGAAUAAUCUGUUUUUCUUUCCUGUCAUGAUCUCUAUCAGCAAAACGCCAAAGCUAUAUACAUCUGAUUUGGUGGAGAAUAUUCCGUCAAUGGCAUACUCGGGGGACAUGUAACCACUGCAGAGGUACAAAGGUAAGACCAUUGCUUAUCAGUCUACUAGUCUAGUUAGAGGAAACAACAGAGCUGGUAGUUGUAUGAAUUCUUACUAUGUUCCCACGACUCGUUUUGUAUUUUCUUCAGUUUGGCUUUCUUUGAAACUUCUUGCCAACCCGAAGUCUGAGAUUUUUGGAUUCAGUUCAUUAUCAAGUAAUAUAUUACUGGCUUUGAGAUCUCUGUGAAUAACUCGUAACUUUGAAUCCUGAUGAAGAUACAGGAGCCCUCUAGCAAUUCCAUUUAUUAUAUUGUAGCGCUGCAACCAUCCCAUUGACUUGCUUGUUUGCUCAUCUAGUCAUAAUUUCAUCUGGUAAAUUUCUGAUAUUUGACAUGUGGAAAAUUAUACUAAAUUUUCAGGAAUAUAAAGAGCCAUACCAAAAAUGAAGAAAUCUAAACUUUUGUUGGGCAUGUAUUCGUAGAUCAAAAUCCUUUCCCCCUUUUCAGUGCAGCAGCCC